CAUUGGUUCUACACAUAAUUCUUGUGGGGGAUGGAUGCACAAGUAUCUUAUGCAUUUCAUUUUGAACGGAGUAGAAUCUAGAAAAAUUCAAAAAUCAGCUUGUUAAUCAGAAAACAUAUGCAAAGCUCGGAUGCACACAAGGAUGGUUUGCUGCCUCAGUCUUUCAUCCUUCAUCAAAGUGAGUCUAUAAGUUUAGUUAUUAGAUUUCUUUUUGAAAAGCAUAAUGAAUGCAAUGCUGAGAGUUGCUGAUAAUAUUGUAUUAAGUACAAACUUAAAAGCUUAGGCUUUUAUUUUUAUUUUUGUUUGACACUGUCAAUGGAAAACCAUAAAUAUUCUGGUUCA